GUGGGGAAUCUUCCGCAAUGGACGAAAGUCUGACGGAGCAACGCCGCGUGAGUGAAGAAGGUUUUCGGAUCGUAAAGCUCUUUCGUUAGGGACGAACGUGCUCUUUGUGAAUAAUGAGGAGUAAUGACGGUACCUAAAUAAGAAGCCACGGCUAACUACGUGCCAGCAGCCGCGGUAAUACGUAGGUGGCAAGCGUUGUCCGGAAUUAUUGGGCGUAAAGCGCGCGCAGGCGGGAUAUCAAGUCUGUCUUAAAAGUGCGAGGCUCAACCUCGUGAGGGGACAGAAACUGGUAUUCUUGAGUGUCGGAGAGGAAAGUGGAAUUCCAAGUGUAGCGGUGAAAUGCGUAGAGAUUUGGAAGAACACCAGUGGCGAAGGCGACUUUCUGGACGAUGUCUGACGCUGAGGCGCGAAAGCUAGGGGAGCGAACGGGAUUAGAUACCCUGGUAGUCC
rnacentral:rRNA from 1 species